AGAACUUAGCAGAGAUGCUUUGGUGCCUUCGGGAACUCUGAGACAGGUGCUGCAUGGCUGUCGUCAGCUCGUGUUGUGAAAUGUUGGGUUAAGUCCCGCAACGAGCGCAACCCUUAUCCUUUGUUGCCAGCGGUUAGGCCGGGAACUCAAAGGAGACUGCCAGUGAUAAACUGGAGGAAGGUGGGGAUGACCGUCAAGUCAUCAUGGCCCUUACGAGUAGGGCUACACACGUGCUACAAUGGCGCAUACAAAGAGAAGCGACCUCGCGAGAGCAAGCGGACCUCAUAAAGUGCGUCGUAGUCCGGAUUGGAGUCUGCAACUCGACUCCAUGAAGUCGGAAUCGCUAGUAAUCGUGGAUCAGAAUGCCACGGUGAAUACGUUCCCGGGCCUUGUACACACCGCCCGUCACACCAUGGGAGUGGGUUGCAAAAGAAGUAGGUAGCUUAACCUUCGGGAGGGCGCUUACCACUUUGUGAUUCAUGACUGGGGUGAAGUCGUAACAAGGUAAGCGUAGUGCU
rnacentral:rRNA from 1 species